rnacentral:rRNA from 1 species
UACGUAGGGUGCAAGCGUUGUCCGGAAUUAUUGGGCGUAAAGAGCUCGUAGGCGGUUUGUUGCGUCGGCUGUGAAAUCCCGAGGCUCAACCUCGGGUCUGCAGUCGAUACGAGCAAACUAGAGUGUUGCAGGGGAGACUGGAAUUCCUGGUGUAGCGGUGAAAUGCGCAGAUAUCAGGAGGGAACACCGGUGGCGAAAGGCGGGGUCUCUGGGGCAA